rnacentral:rRNA from 1 species
AGGCCGAAAGGCGUAGUCGAUGGGAAACAGGUUAAUAUUCCUGUACUUGGUGUUACUGCGAAGGGGGGACGGAGAAGGCUAUGUUAGCCGGGCGACGGUUGUCCCGGUUUAAGCAUGUAGGCUGGUUGUCCAGGCAAAUCCGGAUAAUCAAGGCUGAGGUGUGAUGACGAGGCACUACGGUGCUGAAGUAACAAAUGCCCUGCUUCCAGGAAAAGCCUCUAAGCAUCAGGUAACAUCAAAUCGUACCCCAAACCG